CCUACGGGAGGCAGCAGUGGGGAAUAUUGCACAAUGGGGGAAACCCUGAUGCAGCGACGCCGCGUGAGUGAAGAAGUAUUUCGGUAUGUAAAGCUCUAUCAGCAGGGAAGAAAAUGACGGUACCUGCUUAAGAAGCCCCGGCUAACUACGUGCCAGCAGCCGCGGUAAAACGUAGGGGGCAAGGGUUAUCCGGAUUUACGGGGUGUAAAGGGAGCGUAGACGGCAGCACAGGUCUGGAGUGAAAUGCCGGGGCUUAACCCCGGAACUGCCUUGGAAACUGGGCAGCUAGAGUGCGGGAGAGGUAGGUGGAAUUCCUGGUGUAGCGGUGAAAUGCGUAGAUAUUAGGCAGAACACCAGUGGCGAAGGCGGCUUACUGGACUGUAACUGACGUUGAGGCUCGAAAGCGUGGGGAGCAAACAGGAUUAGAUACCCGAGUAGUC
rnacentral:rRNA from 1 species